UACGUAGGUGGCAAGCGUUGUCCGGAUUUACUGGGCGUAAAGAGCGCGCAGGCGGUCGUUCAAGUCGCGUGUGAAAGCCCCCGGCUCAACUGGGGAGGGUCACGCGAUACUGAUCGACUCGAAGGCGGGAGAGGGUAGUGGAAUCCCGGUGUAGUGGUGAAAUGCGUAGAUAUCGGGAGGAACACCAGUGGCGAAGGCGACUACCUGGCCUGUUCUUGACGCUGAGGCGCGAAAGCUAGGGGAGCAAACGGG
rnacentral:rRNA from 1 species